rnacentral:rRNA from 1 species
GGAGUAUGUGGCUUAAUUUGACUCAACGCGGAAAAGCUUAUCUGGUCCGGACGCAGUGAGGAUUGACAGACAGUUUCAGGAGUGGUUCUUGGUAAACAAUUGAGAGAGUUGAAGUUCUUUCAUGAUCUUGUGAGAGGUGGUGCAUGGCCGUUCUUAGUUCGUGUAGUGAUAUGUCUGCCUAAUCGCGUCACGAUAACCUAUUGGUCGACAACCCAAUUAUCACAACUGCAGCAUAACUCCCCUUGGGUGGGCGAGGCUCUGUGUAGGAUAGACCUCUGAACAGUACGCAACGAACGCGAUCGUAAUCCCUUGUUGAGUGGCCAUCCUGUAAGCUGCUGGAUUAGGAACCCAGUGGUAUUAUCUCAGCCACAGAUUUUCUGGUUGUAAUGGGCCAGUUUUGAAACUCGGGGAACAUCUGUGACUUUCUUUCUUAACGCAGAGGAAGGUUAUGGCAAUAACA